rnacentral:rRNA from 1 species
CCUACGGGGGGCAGCAGUGAGGAAUAUUGGUCAAUGGCCGAGAGGCUGAACCAGCCAAGUCGCGUGAGGGAAGACGGCCCUACGGGUUGUAAACCUCUUUUGUCGGGGAGCAAAGAGAGUCACGUGUGACUCAUUGAGAGUACCCGAAGAAAAAGCAUCGGCUAACUCCGUGCCAGCAGCCGCGGUAAUACGGAGGAUGCGAGCGUUAUCCGGAUUUAUUGGGUUUAAAGGGUGCGCAGGCGGAGGUGCAAGUCAGCGGUAAAAUUGCGGGGCUCAACCCCGUACUGCCGUUGAAACUGCAUCCCUUGAGAACAGUAGAGGUGGGCGGAAUUCGUGGUGUAGCGGUGAAAUGCUUAGAUAUCACGAAGAACUCCGAUUGCGAAGGCAGUUCACUGGACUGCAACUGACACUGAGGCUCGAAAGUGUGGGUAUCAAACAGGAUUAGAUACCCGUGUAGUC